GCCCGGAUAGCUCAGUUAAGAGCGUGGUGCUGAUAACGCCAAGGUUGCAGGUUCGAUCCCCGUAUGAGACA